GUGUCUGUUAGAAUGCAUUAGGCUGCAAGUACAGAACACCUGACUAACAGUGGCUGUCUUAGGUUGGGAUUCUUAGAAACAGAAGUUGAGAUGAGAAGAUGAGUUGAAAGUGAUGUCUUAGGAAGUGUUUCCAAGACAAACCAGUAGUAGGGGUGUGGAGAAGUGGGAAGGGAAGAAGGCAAGGCAAGGGUGUGAUUCAGGCCAAGUCCCGCAGAGGGGAGCUUGACUCAGACUUGCAGAGGAGCUCCGGAGAUCGUGCAAUCACUCCUCAGAGUCAUCCACAUCAGCACAAGGGAGCUGGAGGAUUGGCACCUCCAUACUCAUCUGUCUGAGCUAAGGGCCACCUGGGGUGGAGCGGAGGUGGACAUUGUCAGGCUCUUCUGGUUUUCCAUGCUCACUGGCAAAGUGGGCUCAGGCAGCCUAAGGUCAGUGUUCUGACAAAGAGAAGC
rnacentral:lncRNA from 1 species